GCUGCUUAUUAUCCUUUAACAGGUGACUGGGUUCAGCAUGAUCAGAAUCAGAACAUUUCGAAAAGAAGCACAAAUGGUAACAGGCGGCGAAAAAUGACUAGCAGCUUACCUGAUGAAGAUAUCUAUGACAAGAGAAUGAAGCAGGUUGACUCUUCAGAUGGAGCAAAGACCAGAACCCUGUUAACAGACGCACAGUUGAUCACUCUUGCUGCGAGGCUGGGGAGGGAGUGGAUAAAAAUUGCCAUUGCCAACCUGGAGUUGGAAAUUAGUGAUAUUGAUGAUAUCCGGGAGAAGGAAGAAGAUGUUACCAUGUGUAACUUCAGGAUGCUGAAGAAGUGGCAAGAAAAGGAGCAGGGUAAUGCCACAGCCGAGAAUUUAUCCAAGUGCCUGAAGAACGUUUCUGUUGAAGUCCAAGAUGUGCUGAAAGGUUUCUUACAGGAAAGGUGAAGUUUGGGAGAUGAGCUGAAAAAGGAAGGCUCAGGAACUUUUAUCUGCAAAAGACCACUUCAACUGGUAAUUGGGUAUGGACUUGAUGAGACCUUGAACUGCACAGUCUGAAGGCAGCUCCUUUCACACAGGCGGAAACUCUGCAGCUCACAUUAUUCAGGGGCACAGAAAAUGUAAAAUAUUUAGACAACUUAAGGCAGAAAAAAAUCUCUAUAACAUCAAGAUUCAUUUAUUUAUUUCUCUCUUUUUUUUUUUGCACCUCCUGCUCAUACCAUCCUGCCCUGCUUCCCCAACCAAUAUCUGUCCUUACAAAGGUGCUUAAAAUGACUCUACUCAGUCAGGUGAGAAAUGUGGUAAUUUUCCUUUUGGAGUCUGCGAAUUAUGAAAGCAAUUAAGUGGUAGUGUGCUUAAACUCAUGCCAGUGUAGUUGAGCUUUUUUUCCAUCAUGAUAUUAAUAAUGAAGAGAGAUUUCCUUUUCUUUUAGCCCCCACUGUGACAGGCCUGUCGCCCCCCCCCCCCCCCGCCCCCAGGUACAAUGUAUCUUCUUAGGUGGGAUGAUUUCCAUAGCUCACUUUACCAACCUAUCUGGCUAGUGGUCUAUUAAAUCGGUAAACCAAUCAUGUUACCUGGACCUGGAGUGAUGAGAAGAAAUGUAAUCCUGUCCCCAUCACACAUUGGAGUGCAUGCUCAGAGGCGAUCUUAUCUCAGGUGGUGAAGACGGAUGGAUGGUCAGAGAGUCCCUGGAAGUUUCAUCAACCUUCCAGAAUCACAAGGCCAAGCACUACAUUUCUUGACUUUCACCCUGGGAUCAUUUACUUUCUGGGGGGACAAAUGCCACUCAGAAAUCGCUGUAGAAGGACCAAGGGAAAACUGUCAUGUCUUUUUGAAGAAGAUUUGCCCCAGGGAAUACUGAGCCACAUUGGCUCUUGUUAAUUGGUGAAAUGGUUUUUUGGGGUCUGUAUAGCCAUUGUCACUCUCCCAGAAUCAUGCAUGUAGUUGAUUAACAUUUUGGAUAUGUUUUGUUAACUUAUUUGAAGAAACUAUAAAUUACCAUCAGUCUACUGUAAGCAUUAGCUGGAGAAUAAAAUAAAUCUCAAUGAAUUAAUCA
rnacentral:lncRNA from 1 species